ensembl:snoRNA
GUGCUGCCUUUGAACCCCUGUCACACCUGCGCAUGACACCAGGAGUCAGGCUGCAGCACCAGAGCAUGAGUUCACACAUAGCUGGGGCCACCCGCAGCUCAUGGGCUGCCCUUUUAAUCACGAGUGACAUUG